rnacentral:misc_RNA from 1 species
GAUGAAGAACGCAGCGAAAUGCGAUAAGUAAUGUGAAUUGCAGAAUUCAGUGAAUCAUCGAAUCUUUGAACGCACAUUGCGCCCGCCAGUAUUCUGGCGGGCAUGCCUGUUCGAGCGUCAUUACAACCCUCAGGCCCCCGGGCCUGGCGUUGGGGAUCGGCGGAAGCCCCCUGCGGGCACAACGCCGUCCCCCAAAUACAGUGGCGGUCCCGCCGCAGCUUCCAUUGCGUAGUAGCUAACACUUCGCAACUGGAGAGCGGCGCGGCCACGCCGUAAAACACCCAACUUCUGAAUGUUGACCUCGAAUCAGGUAGGAAUACCCGCUGAACUUAAGCAUAUCAAUAAGCGGAGGA